ACAGUGGACGCGAGCAUCUGUGGCCAAGUUUUUAAGGGCGCACGGUGGAUGCCUUGGCACCAGGAACCGAUGAAGGACGUGGGAGGCCACGAUAGUCCCCGGGGAGCCGUCAACCAGGCUUUGAUCCGGGGGUUUCCGAAUGGGGAAACCCGGCAGUCGUCAUGGGCUGUCACCCGCUGCUGAACACAUAGGCAGUGUGGAGGGAACGAGGGGAAGUGAAACAUCUCAGUACCCUCAGGAAGAGAAAACAACCGUGAUUCCGGGAGUAGUGGCGAGCGAAACCGGAUGAGGCCAAACCGUAUACGUGUGAGACCCGGCAGGGGUUGCGUGUGCGGGGUUGUGGGAUCUCUCUUCUGUCGUCUGCCGGCGACAGGACGAGUCAGAAACCGUUGAUGUAGGCGAAGGACAUGCGAAAGGUCCGGCGUAGAGGGUAAGACCCCCGUAGUCGAAACAUCAGCGGCUCGUUUGAGAGACACCCAAGUAGCACGGGGCCCGAGAAAUCCCGUGUGAAUCUGGCGGGACCACCCGCUAAGCCUAAAUAUUCCCUGGUGACCGAUAGCGGAUAGUACCGUGAGGGAAUGGUGAAAAGUACCGCGGGAGCGGAGUGAAAUAGUACCUGAAACCGUGUGCCUACAAGCCGUGGGAGCGUCGCGCAUUGAGUUUACUCAGUGCGUCGUGACUGCGUGCCUUUUGAAGAAUGAGCCUGCGAGUUUGCGGUGUGUUGCGAGGUUAACCCGUGUGGGGAAGCCGUAGCGAAAGCGAGUCCGAAUAGGGCGAUUCAGUAGCGCGCUCAAGACCCGAAGCGGAGUGAUCUAGCCAUGGGCAGGUUGAAGCGGAGGUAAGACUUCGUGGAGGACCGAACCCACCAGGGUUGAAAACCUGGGGGAUGACCUGUGGUUAGGGGUGAAAGGCCAAUCAAACUCCGUGAUAGCUGGUUCUCCCCGAAAUGCAUUUAGGUGCAGCGUCGUGUGUUUCUUGCCGGAGGUAGAGCACUGGAUAGGCGAUGGGCCCUACCGGGUUACUGACCUUAGCCAAACUCCGAAUGCCGGUAAGUGAGAGCACGGCAGUGAGACUGUGGGGGAUAAGCUCCAUGGUCGAGAGGGAAACAGCCCAGAGCAUCGACUAAGGCCCCUAAGCGUACGCUAAGUGGGAAAGGAUGUGGAGUCGCAGAGACAACCAGGAGGUUGGCUUAGAAGCAGCCACCCUUGAAAGAGUGCGUAAUAGCUCACUGGUCUAGUGAUUCCGCGCCGACAAUGUAGCGGGGCUCAAGCGUACCGCCGAAGUCGUGUCAUUCAUACAAUAGGGCCAACGCCUGUAUGGAUGGGUAGGGGAGCGUCGUGUGCCGGGUGAAGCAGCCGCGGAAGCGAGUUGUGGACGGUUCACGAGUGAGAAUGCAGGCAUGAGUAGCGAUACAAACGUGAGAAACGUUUGCGCCGAUUGACUAAGGGUUCCUGGGUCAAGCUGAUCUGCCCAGGGUAAGUCGGGACCUAAGGCGAGGCCGACAGGCGUAGUCGAUGGAUAACCGGUUGAUAUUCCGGUACCCGCUGUGAAGCGUCAAACAUCGAGCAUCGUGAUGCUAAGGCCGUGAAGCCGUUCCGGACCCUUCGGGGAAUGGAAAGUGGUGGAGCCGCCGGCCCAAGCGGUUAGUAGGUGAGUGAUGGGGUGACGCAGGAAGGUAGUCCAGCCCAGGCGGUGGUUGUCCUGGGGUAAGGGUGUAGCCCGUGUGAUAGGCAAAUCCGUCACACAUUAAGGGUGAGACCUGAUGCCGAGCCGAUUGUGGUGAAGUGGAUGAUCCUAUGCUGUCGAGAAAAGCCUCUAGCGAGUUUCAUGGCGGCCCGUACCCUAAACCGACUCAGGUGGUCAGGUAGAGAAUACCGAGGCGUUCGGGUGAACUAUGGUUAAGGAACUCGGCAAAAUGCCCCCGUAACUUCGGGAGAAGGGGGGCCAUCACUGGUGAUCGGAUUUACUCCGUGAGCUGGGGGUGGCCGCAGAGACCAGCGAGAAGCGACUGUUUACUAAAAACACAGGUCCGUGCGAAGCCGUAAGGCGAUGUAUACGGACUGACGCCUGCCCGGUGCUGGAACGUUAAGGGGACCGGUUAGUCACUCUUCGGGGUGGCGAAGCUGAGAACUUAAGCGCCAGUAAACGGCGGUGGUAACUAUAACCAUCCUAAGGUAGCGAAAUUCCUUGUCGGGUAAGUUCCGACCUGCACGAAUGGCGUAACGACUUCUCGACUGUCUCAACCAUAGGCCCGGUGAAAUUGCACUACGAGUAAAGAUGCUCGUUUCGCGCAGCAGGACGGAAAGACCCCGGGACCUUUACUACAGUUUGAUAUUGGUGUUCGGUUCGGCUUGUGUAGGAUAGCUGGGAGACUUUGAAGCAUGCACGCCAGUGUGUGUGGAGUCGUCGUUGAAAUACCAGUCUGGUCGUGCUGGAUGUCUAACCUGGGUCCGUGAUCCGGAUCAGGGACAGUGUCUGAUGGGUAGUUUAACUGGGGCGGUUGCCUCCUAAAGAGUAACGGAGGCGCCCAAAGGUUCCCUCAGCCUGGUUGGCAAUCAGGUGUUGAGUGUAAGUGCACAAGGGAGCUUGACUGUGAGACCGACGGGUCGAGCAGGGACGAAAGUCGGGACUAGUGAUCCGGCGGUGGCUUGUGGAAGCGCCGUCGCUCAACGGAUAAAAGGUACCCCGGGGAUAACAGGCUGAUCUUCCCCAAGAGUCCAUAUCGACGGGAUGGUUUGGCACCUCGAUGUCGGCUCGUCGCAUCCUGGGGCUGGAGUCGGUCCCAAGGGUUGGGCUGUUCGCCCAUUAAAGCGGUACGCGAGCUGGGUUUAGAACGUCGUGAGACAGUUCGGUCCCUAUCCGCUGUGCGCGUAGGAAUAUUGAGAAGGGCUGUCCCUAGUACGAGAGGACCGGGACGGACGAACCUCUGGUGUGCCAGUUGUCCUGCCAAGGGCAUGGCUGGUUGGCUACGUUCGGGAGGGAUAACCGCUGAAAGCAUCUAAGCGGGAAGCCUGCUUCGAGAUGAGUAUUCCCACCUCCUUGAGAGGGUAAGGCUCCCAGUAGACGACUGGGUUGAUAGGCCAGAUAUGGAAGCCUGGUAACGGGUGGAGUUGACUGGUACUAAUAGGCCGAGGGCUUGUCCUCAGUUG
rnacentral:rRNA from 1 species